AGUCAUCAGCCAGAGGUAACCUGUCUCUCUCUCUCUCUCUCUCUGUAAUCCUCUAGGUGAUGGUCGCGGUCUCUCCUCCCUGACUAGUGGUACCGAGGACCUGUUUGACCCUCUCCCCAGCAGGAAGACCCCAGAGUCCUUCCUGGGUCCUAAUGCAGCAUUGGUCAACCUGGACUCACUGGUCACCAAGCCUCCUCAGCCUGCUCCUAUUGUCAACCCCUUCCUCGCCGCCGCAGGAGCAGCCCCUGUAGCCGCCCCCCAGGCCAACCCGUUCCAGAUGGGCCAGCCUAACCCUCCGACCCUAAACCAGAUGAGGGUCAGUCCGAUGCCGGGCCUGAGUCUGGGAGGGGAGCAGGGUUCAGCAGCUUGUCCUCCAUGGCAGAUCCUCUACCCCUCUCCUCCCUGGGGAUGGUCCCUCUGACGGGCCACAUGUGCCUGGGGUAGGAGGAUGGGCGUAUCCCAAUGUCCCAGCCCCUCUUCAGCUCAGCUCUGCCCCCUACACGGGCACACAGCCCCCCGGACCACCAACCCUUCCUGUUGUG